UUAUCGGUUUGUUUGAUGUUACAGCCAAGGGUCUGUAGCUCAGGUGGUUAGAGCACCGUCUUGAUAAGGCGGGGGUCGUAGGUUCAAGUCCUACCAGACCCACCAAGUUACGGGCGGCGGAGAGCGAUCUUGCCGUGAACUGGGGGAUUAGCUCAGCUGGGAGAGCACCUGCUUUGCAAGCAGGGGGUCGUCGGUUCGAUCCCGUCAUCCUCCACCAACACCUUGUGGUAGCCAAACGCAAGCAUCGAGAGAUCGGUGUUUGCGUUUGGCAUUGCCAAGACGAGUAGUAACUCGGCUGUUCUUUAACAAUAUGGAAUGUAGUAAAGGUGUCGCGGCGCGUUGAUGAGGCGCGCAAUUUAAACGCGACACUGGGUUGUGAUUGUAUCAACCAGUAUUACAAGUGAUCGAAAGACCGCUUGGAAUACGGCACAACGCGAGAACUCAGCCUAUAGCGAGACAUACUCGUUAUAGGGUCAAGCGAAUAAGUGCAUGUGGUGGAUGCCUUGGCGAUCACAGGCGAUGAAGGACGUAGUAGCUUGCGAAAAGCUGCGGGGAGCUGGCAAACGAGCUUUGAUCCGCAGAUGUCCGAAUGGGGAAACCCGGCCCGUAUGGGUCAUCCCUUGCUGAAUACAUAGGCAAGGGAGGCGAACGCAGUGAACUGAAACAUCUAAGUAGCUGCAGGAAAAGAAAUCAACCGAGAUUCCCAGAGUAGUGGCGAGCGAAAUGGGAACAGCCUUGUACUCUUUAGCAGUAUUGUUAGCGGAACGGAAUGGAAAGUCCGGCCAUAGUGGGUGAUAGCCCCGUACGCGAAAACAGUAUUGUGGAACUAGGUGUACGACAAGUAGGGCGGGACACGUGAAAUCCUGUCUGAAGAUGGGGGGACCAUCCUCCAAGGCUAAAUACUCGUGAUCGACCGAUAGUGAACCAGUACCGUGAGGGAAAGGCGAAAAGAACCCCGGGAGGGGAGUGAAAUAGAUCCUGAAACCGCAUGCAUACAAACAGUCGGAGCCUGGAAACGGGUGACGGCGUACCUUUUGUAUAAUGGGUCAGCGACUUACAUUCAGUGGCAAGCUUAACCGAUUAGGGAAGGCGUAGCGAAAGCGAGUCCGAAUAGGGCGUUCAGUCGCUGGGUGUAGACCCGAAACCAAGUGAUCUAUCCAUGGCCAGGUUGAAGGUGCGGUAACACGUACUGGAGGACCGAACCCACUAACGUUGAAAAGUUAGGGGAUGAGCUGUGGAUAGGGGUGAAAGGCUAAACAAACUUGGAAAUAGCUGGUUCUCUCCGAAAACUAUUUAGGUAGUGCCUCGUGUCUCACCUUCGGGGGUAGAGCACUGUCAUGGUUGGGGGGUCUAUUGCUGAUUACCCCGCCAUAGCAAACUCCGAAUACCGAAGAGUGCAAUCACGGGAGACAGACAUCGGGUGCUAACGUCCGGUGUCAAGAGGGAAACAACCCAGACCGCCAGCUAAGGUCCCUAAGAUUGGCUAA
rnacentral:sRNA from 1 species